rnacentral:rRNA from 1 species
GUCUAUGGCUAUACCACUCUGAAUGUGCCUAAUCUUGUCUGAUCUCAGAAGUUAAGCAGGGUCAGGCCUGGUUAGUACUUGGAUGGGAGGAAACUUUUUCUCUGCUGAAAUUGUCUGUGGAAGCCCCAGGCC